ACCGUUUCUCAGCCUUUUGGCUAAGAUCAAGUGUAGAAUUUGUGGACACAUUUUAAAACCACAGUCAUUUCCAGUGGUGGUUAUUUUUAAAUUCUGGCUUAUUGAAGAAUAAUUAACCAUUUAAUAGUAAAUUCACCAUUAUUAAAUGUACAGUG
ensembl:snRNA U2 U2 spliceosomal RNA